rnacentral:rRNA from 1 species
AGUGAACGCUGGCGGUAGGCCUAACACAUGCAAGUCGAACGGCAGCACAGUAAGAGCUUGCUCUUACGGGUGGCGAGUGGCGGACGGGUGAGGAAUACAUCGGAAUCUACUUUUUCGUGGGGGAUAACGUAGGGAAACUUACGCUAAUACCGCAUACGACCUACGGGUGAAAGCAGGGGAUCUUCGGACCUUGCGCGAUUGAAUGAGCCGAUGUCGGAUUAGCUAGUUGGCGGGGUAAAGGCCCACCAAGGCGACGAUCCGUGGCUGGUCUGAGGGGAUGAUCGGCCACACUGGACCUGAGACACGGUCCAGCCUCCUACGGGAGGCAGCGGUGGGGAAUUUUGGACAAUGGGCGCAAGCCUGCUCCAGCCAUCCCGCGUGGGUGAAGAAGGCCUUCGGGUUGUAAAGCCCUUUUGUUGGGAAAGAAAAGCAGCAGGUUAAUACCCCGCUGUUCUGACGGUACCCAAAGAAUAAGCACCGGCUAACUUCGU